rnacentral:tRNA from 1 species
GGGGUUGUGGCCGAGUGGUUAAGGCGCUACGUUUAGGUGCUGUAUAGCAUAAUCCGUAGUGGGAAACCGCGUGCGUUCGAACCGCACCAACCUCA